UACGUAGGGAGCAAGCGUUGUUCGGAUUUACUGGGCGUAAAGGGCGCGUAGGCGGCGCGGUAAGUCGGGUGUGAAAUCUUGGAGCUUAACUCCGAAACUGCAUUCGAUACUGCCGUGCUUGAGGACUGGAGAGGAGACUGGAAUUUACGGUGUAGCGGUGAAAUGCGUAGAUAUCGUAAGGAAGACCAGUGGCGAAGGCGGGUCUCUGGACAGUUCCUGACGCUGAAGCACGAAGGCCAGGGGAGCAAACGGG
rnacentral:rRNA from 1 species